GUGCUCGCUUCUGCAACAAGUACAAAAAUUGGAACAAUACAGAGAUUUGCAUGGCCCUUGAGUAAGGAUGACAUGCAAAUUUGUGAAGUGUUCCAUAACUUU
rnacentral:snRNA from 1 species